CCGGCAUCCAGAUAGCGUGAAAAUACUACACAGUGGAUGUGCAAUGGCGAUCAGAGCUUUUAUGUAAUAUAACUUGCAACCGCACAAAAUGUAGUAUCCUAAUGAAAUGCUCUUUAGCUUCUUCAAAAUAACACUGGGAGAGGGGUCCAUUCUGUCUACAUACAACUCACGGCCACAGCUGAAAAGGUCACCCUCCAUGCCAUUGUUGAGUCUAAUUAACAUGUAUUAAAUAGCUCAACCCCUCUUCA